UACGAAGGGGCUAGCGUUGUUCGGAUUACUGGGCGUAAGCGCACGUAGGCGGAUCGUUAGUCGGGGGUGAAUCCUGGAGCUCAACUCCAGAACUGCCUUCGAUACUGGCGAUCUUGAGUCCGGAAGAGGUGAGUGGAACUCCUAGUGUAGAGGUGGAAUCGGUAGAUAUUAGGAAGAACACCAGUGGCGAAGGCGGCUCACUGGUCCGGUACUGACGCUGAGGUGCGAAAGCGUGGGAGCAACAG
rnacentral:rRNA from 1 species